UACAGAGGUGGCAAGCGUUGUUCGGAAUUACUGGGCGUAAAGGGCGCGUAGGCGGUCUUCUAAGUCUUGUGUGAAAUCCCUCGGCUCAACUGAGGAACUGCACGGGAUACUGGAAGACUUGAGUUCGGGAGAGGGAAGCGGAAUUCCGGGUGUAGCGGUGAAAUGCGUAGAUAUCCGGAGGAACACCGGUGGCGAAGGCGGCUUCCUGGGCCAGUACUGACGCUGAGGAGCGAAAGCGUGGGGAGCAAACAGG
rnacentral:rRNA from 1 species